rnacentral:rRNA from 1 species
UGAGGAAUAUUGGUCAAUGGACGCAAGUCUGAACCAGCCAUGCCGCGUGCAGGAUGAAUGCCCUACGGGUUGUAAACUGCUUUUCUACAAGAAGAAACCCCCCGAUGCAUCAGGGGCUGACGGUAUUGUAGGAAUAAGCAUCGGCUAACUCCGUGCCAGCAGCCGCGGUAAUACGGAGGAUGCAAGCGUUAUCCGGAUUCAUUGGGUUUAAAGGGUGCGUAGGCGGGGUAGUAAGUCAGUGGUGAAAGCCUGCGGCUUAACCGUAGAAUUGCCAUUGAUACUGCUAUUCUUGAGUGCAGUUGAGGUAGGCGGAAUGUGUAAUGUAGCGGUGAAAUGCUUAGAUAUUACACAGAACACCGAUUGCGUAGGCAGCUUACUAAACUGUAACUGACGCUGAGGCACGAAAGCGUGGGGAGCGAACA